GCCAUUGUGGUGUAGUGGUUUGGGUGUUGCACCAAGACUGUGGAGACCAGAGUUCAAAUCCCUGCUCAGCCA